CUUUCUCUAAUCAGUGAAACUAAUCUCCCCGUGAAGAAGCGGGGAUAAACCUAUAAGACGAGAAGACCCCAUGGAGCUUUAAACCUAGCUACACUCUAACCUACUAUACCAUGUAACUUGAACCUAUACGCUAGGCUUUAGGUUGGGGCGACCGCGGAGUACAAUUAAACCUCCAUGAUGAAUGAAUCUUCCCUCUUAUCUAAGAAACACAUUUCUAAGAAUUAGUAUACUAACAUAAAAUGAUCCGACAAUCGAUCAACGAACUAAGUUACCCUGGGGAUAACAGCGCAAUCCAUUUUAAGAGCCCUUAUCGACAAAUGGGUUUACGAC
rnacentral:rRNA from 1 species